GUCAACAGAAUAGAUUUAUAUUGGGAGGAGAUGCCAUCUAUAACGUUCACAGCUAGAGAGAAGUCAAUGCCUGACUUCAAAGCUUCAAAGGAUGACUAAGGCUCUUGUUAGGGACUAAUGUAACUGAUGACUGGGCAGAAGCCAAUGCUCAUUUACCAUUCUGAAAAUUCUAGCCCUUAAGAAUUAGCAGGAAGAUCGCUUGAGGCCAGGAGUUUGAGAUCAGUUUGGGCAAAACCCUGCCUCGGCCCAGGGGGUACUCUUCUGCCCAAGGGAACCUCUCCCUGGUUAUAACCUAAUUUGUUGUGUGUAUGUGGACUAGAUGGGUGGAAUUCAACCUUCUAAGGUAUUGUGGUUAGAUUGCUUUCAAAUGACUGGCGAUUCCAAGAAAUGUAAGAAAUCCUCUUUCUUUUUCAAAGGACCAUUCUCUUGUGGUUCAAAUGUGGGCUUUUGAAACAGAAACAAUAAUGUC
rnacentral:lncRNA from 1 species